UACGAGGGGGUCCUAGCGUUGUUCGGAAUCAUUGGGCGUAAAGCGUCUGUAGGCGGCUUUGUAAGUCGGGUGUGAAAGCCCCCAGGCUCAACCUGGGAAGUGCAUUCGAUACUGCAUAGCUUGAAUGUUGGAGAGGAUAGUAGAAUUCCAGGUGUAGUGGUGAAAUACGUAGAUAUCUGGAGGAAUACCGGUGGCGAAGGCGGCUAUCUGGCCAAACAUUGACGCUGAGAGACGAAAAGCAUGGGGGAUCAAACAGG
rnacentral:rRNA from 1 species